GGGAGGGCCUGAGGAAGGCGAGGGGUCGAGUGGGGCCUGACGGGAAGGCUGGCCGGCCGGUGUGGCAUGUGGGGCCUUGCCCAGCACAAACGUGCCUUCCUACGCCCGGAGCCCCAGACGCAGAGCCUGAGAGAGGGUGCGAGCAGUUCGUUUGGAGGUGAUCUCGAGAAGUGGGUCAUGGCGGCAGGGGGGAGCGGAAAGUGGUAGGUGUGUUAUCAGCUGGCGGCAACGGGGCUCCUUCCCCGUGAGGCCCCCUGGGAGACAACAUAGAAGGAGCCUUAGGGUGUUCCUGCCUGGGGACGAGGAAGCUGGGUGUCCCCAACUCCCCUGUGACACUGGCCCUCAGCUGGGCCACUCCUAGGGCCCAGAUCUCCCCACAGGGAGGCACAGGUGCUGGCAGGAGGGCGCCAUGGGCCUGGCCGGGAGCGGUGAGCGCCGGGACGCCAACAACGGGCACCAAUAGCAUCCGAGGCAAGGAGGGAGCACGGAGGCCAUCCCGCACGCACCUGUUCACCGAGCAUCCCAGUGUGCCCAUCUCAUCAGGGAGACGGGGAAUGAGAAGAGCACGCGGAGAGAUGGUCAGCAGCGCGGGAUUCGUGCCAGGAAGGGACGGAGGACGGAUAAACAACAUGUGGCGUAUCCACACGACGGGGUUUGAUGCAGCCAUAAAGAGCAAUCGAGCACUGAGUGUUGAAAAUAGUGAGACUGAGCGCAAGACGCCAGAUGCAAAAGGCCACAUAGCGUGUGAUUCCGUUCCUGUGAGGUGUCCCAGGCAGGCAAAUCCGCAGAGACAGGAAGCAGGAGCAUUAUUCACAGUAGCUGAACUGUGGAGGCCAGCCAUGUGUCCGUCAACAGACGGAUGGAUGAAGAAAAUGUGGUCCAUCCACACAAUGGAAUAUUACUCAGGCCCUAAAAAGGAAGGAAGUUCUGACGCGUGCUACAACAUGGAUGACCCUGGAGGACACGCUGAGUGAAAUAAGCCAGCCACCAAAGGACAAAUACUGUAGGACCCCACUUAUAUGGGGUCCCUGGAGCCACCAAAUUCAUAGACAGAAAGUAGAACGGUAGGGGCCAGGGCUGGGGUAGGGGAUUGGGGACUCAGUGUUUAGUGGGGACAGAGUUUCAGUUUGAGAAGAUGGAAAGUUCUGGAA
rnacentral:lncRNA from 1 species